rnacentral:lncRNA from 1 species
GGACGACUGAGGAUGAAAAAAUAUUAAGGUUUUGCCCACUCUCCCCCUCCCCUCUAAGUGGAGAAUGUAACUUUUAGCAAAUCAAGGUAUGUUUUUGUUUAUACAUACUCUUUUAUCCUCAGGCUUUGAAAGGAUAUUGACCUUUUUAUCCUUAAGUUUUGCCGAAGUUACCAUGCCUAUUAUGCUCAAGUGGAUCCAGCAAUAUGGCCUACAGUAGUGUGUCUACCAUAUCUAUUCUCCCGGGCACAAGAACACCUCACCCUUUUGCAUCUGAUUGUUAUUAUGCUUCCAAAAGCUCUCAAGGUGGCAUGAUCAAGCUUAGGUAACAUGGUUAUAAUGCAAUCAUGACCAGCUUACAUGAUGACAAAGACUUUAGUUGUAUCGAAAGAUUUGUUGCUGUCUCUACUAGGGACAUCAUAUCCUCGUCAGAAUAUCCAAUUCCUGAGACUUGGAAUUAUACUCGGUUCUCUUAAAUGCAUACUUUUCUUUAUCAUUUUUUGAUAAAAGUUCUCAUCCUCUUUGACUUAUCUUAUUUCCUUUUAGCUGCUUGCUAGUUUCCGCCAUGGUUGAAGACUUGCCUCAAUGGAUUUUAAAAAAAAAUGGACACUUCCAUACUAGAACUCCGCACGUGGAAGGAAAUUUCAAUAAAGAAAACUCGAAAGUGCAAUAAUCAUGGUGAGAAUAUCUUUGUUCAUUAUUCUUAUUAACGUGUAUCUUCAUUCGGAAAUAGACUGUUGAUCAUUCCAUUUUGUGUUACAAUCUCAGGCCUUCCCAAAGAAUCAUUUGUCUAUCCACCUGUAG